CUGCUUUAGCAGCACAUACACUAAAAUUGGAAUGACACAGAGCAUGGCCCCUGAACAUGGAUGACAUGCAAAUUCAUGAAGCAUUCCAUAUUUCU
rnacentral:snRNA from 1 species